GACGAACGCUGGCGGCGUGCUUAACACAUGCAAGUCGAACGGAAAGGCCCCUUUGGGGGUACUCGAGUGGCGAACGGGUGAGUAACACGUGAGUAACCUGCCCUUGACUUCGGGAUAACUUCAGGAAACUGGGGCUAAUACCGGAUAGGAAUCCUUGCUGCAUGGUGGGGGUUGGAAAGCUUCGGCGGUUUUGGAUGGACUCGCGGCUUAUCGGCUUGUUGGUUGGGUAGUGGCUUACCAAGGCGUUGACGGGUAGCCGGCCUGAAGGGGUGACCGGCCACGUUGGGACUUAGCUACGGCCCAGACCCCUACGGGAGGCAGCAGUGGGGAAUAUUGCACAAUGGGCGGAAGCCUGAUGCAGCAACGCCGCGUGCGGGAUGACGGCCUUCGGGUUGUAAACCGCUUUCAGCAGGGGCGAAGCUUGUGGUGACGGUACCUGCAGAAGAAGCACCGGCUAACUACGUG
rnacentral:rRNA from 1 species